rnacentral:rRNA from 1 species
GUAGGUGGCAAGCGUUGUCCGGAAUUAUUGGGCGUAAAGCGCGAGCAGGCGGUCCUUUAAGUCUGAUGUGAAAGCCCACGGGCUCAACCGUGGAGGGUCAUUGGAAACUGGGGGACUUGAGUACAGAAGAGGAAAGCGGAAUUCCACGUGUAGCGGUGAAAUGCGUAGAGAUGUGGAGGAACACCAGUGGCGAAGGCGGCUUUCUGGUCUGUAACUGACGCUGAGGCGCGAAAGCGUGGGGAGCAAACAGGAUUAGAUACCCUGGUAGUCCACGCCGUAAACGAUGAGUGCUAAGUGUUAGGGGGUUUCCGCCCCUUAGUGCUGCAGCUAACGCAUUAAGCACUCCGCCUGGGGAGUACGGCCGCAAAGGCUG